rnacentral:rRNA from 1 species
UAGGGAAUAUUGCACAAUGGGCGAAAGCCUGAUGCAGCAACGCCGCGUGCGCGAUGAAGGCCCUCGGGUCGUAAAGCGCUUUUCUGCGAGAUGAGAAAGGACAGUAUCGCAGGAAUAAGUCUCGGCUAACUACGUGCCAGCAGCCCGGGUACGGUAAACGGUAACGGACGGUACGGACGGUACGUUACGUACCGGUACGUUACGUACGUACGGGUACGGUAAACGGUACGGUCGGUACGGUACGUAGGGUUUAGGGUUUUACGGGUUUAACGGGUUUACGGGGUACGGUAACGGUAAACGGUACCCGGUACCCCGGUACCGUACCGUAACCGGUUACGGGGUAACGGUAACGGGUUACCGGUUAACCGUAAACGUUAACGUUAACGUACGUACGGUACGUAA